CCCUUAGAUGUUCUGGGCCGCACGCGCGCUACACUGACGAAAGCAACGAGUUACUUGGCCGAAAGGUCCGGUUAAUCUCUAAAUUUCGUCGUGAUGGGGAUAGAUUAUUGCAAUUAUUAAUCUUCAACGAGGAAUUCCUAGUAAGCGUGAGUCAUCAGCUCGCGUUGAUUACGUCCCUGCCCUUUGUACACACCGCCCGUCGCUCCUACCGAUUGAAUGGUCCGGUGAAGCGUUCGGAUGAGCGCGCAGAGGCGGUUCGCCGCUCCUACGUGCUCAGAAGUUCGUUAAACCUUAUCAUUUAGAGGAAGGAGAANUCGUANCA
rnacentral:rRNA from 1 species